rnacentral:rRNA from 1 species
AUUGAACGCUGGCGGCAGGCCUAACACAUGCAAGUCGAACGAGUGGCGGACGGGUGCGUAAUGUCUGGGAAACUGCCCGAUGGAGGGGGAUAACUACUGGAAACGGUAGCUAAUACCGCAUACUAUCGGAUGUGCCCAGAUGGGAUUAGCUAGUAGGUGGGGUAACGGCUCACUUAGGCGCCGCCCCCAAGCUGGUCUGAGAGGCUGACGAGCCACACUGGAACGGAGACACGGUCCAGACUCCUACGGAAGGCAGCGGUAGGGAAUAUUGCACAAUGGGCGCAAGCCUGAUGAAGCCAGGCCGCGUGUAUGAAGAAGGCCUUCGGGUUGUAAAGUACUUUCAGCGGGGAGGCGUUACCCGCAGAAGAGUCACCGGCGAACUCCGUGCAAGCAGCCGCGGUAAUUC